rnacentral:misc_RNA from 1 species
CACACCUUGCGCUCCGCGCAGUGUUGGGCGCAGCCUUCAGGGCUCGCCUCAAAUCCAGUGGCAGCACUUCAGAGCUCCUACGCGCAGUGAUCACCGCCGCCGGUGGAGUCUUGUGGUCGCUAGCUAGUCAACCCCCACUUUGCUA